GCCUAGUGGUUCAGAUGGUAAAGUGUCUGUCUGCAAUGCAGGAGACCCGGGUUCGAUCCCUGGGUUGGGCA
rnacentral:tRNA from 1 species